rnacentral:rRNA from 1 species
AUACGUAGGGGGCGAGCGUUGUCCGGAAUGAUUGGGCGUAAAGGGCGCGUAGGCGGCGCGGUAAGUCUGGAGUGAAAGUCCUGCUUUCAAGGUGGGAAUUGCUUUGGAUACUGCCGCGCUUGAGUGCAGGAGAGGAUAUCGGAAUUCCCGGUGUAGCGGUGAAAUGCGUAGAGAUCGGGAGGAACACCAGUGGCGAAGGCGGGUAACUGGACUGCAACUGACGCUGAGGCGCGAAAGUGUGGGGAGCAAACAGGAUUAGAUACCCUGGUAGUCCACACUGUAAACGAUGAAUGCUAGGUGUAAGAGGUAUCGACCCCUUUUGUGCCGGAGUCAACACAAUAAGCAUUCCGCCUGGGGAGUACGGCCGCAAGGUUGAAACUCAAAGGAAUUGACGGGG